rnacentral:rRNA from 1 species
UACGAAGGGGGCUAGCGUUGUUCGGAUUUACUGGGCGUAAAGCGCACGUAGGCGGAUCUUUAAGUCAGGGGUGAAAUCCUGGAGCUCAACUCCAGAACUGCCUUUGAUACUGAGGAUCUUGAGUCCGGGAGAGGUGAGUGGAACUCCGAGUGUAGAGGUGAAAUUCGUAGAUAUUCGGAAGAACACCAGUGGCGAAGGCGGCUCACUGGCCCGGUACGUGACGCUGAGGUGCGAAAGCGUGGGGAGCA